UACAGAGGGUGCAAGCGUUAAUCGGAAUUACUGGGCGUAAAGCGUGCGCAGGCGGUUUCACAAGCUCGAUGUGAAAGCCCCGGGCUUAACCUGGGAAUGGCAUUGAGGACUGUGGAGCUCGAGUGCGGCAGAGGGAGGUGGAAUUCCACGUGUAGCAGUGAAAUGCGUAGAGAUGUGGAGGAACACCGAUGGCGAAGGCAGCCUCCUGGGCCGACACUGACGCUCAUGCACGAAAGCGUGGGGAGCAAACAGG
rnacentral:rRNA from 1 species